ACAGAUGAUCGCGCCCUCGUCAGAGGGUGAGGAAAGUCCGGGCUCCACAGGGCAGAGUGCCGGAUAACGUCCGGUCGGGGUGACCCGAAGGCCAGUGCAACAGAAAAGAAACCGCCGGUUUUACCGGUAAGGGUGGAAUGGCGGUGUAAGAGACCACCGCUCUUACGGUAACGUAAGAGGCUGUGUAAACCCCACUCGGAGCAAGACGAAACAGAAAGCGAUACGGUAGCCCGCCGUGCUUUCGGGUGCGUCGCGUUUUGUACCUUACGGUACAAAGGAGCUGUGCGGUAACGUACAGUCAAGAUAGAUGAUCAUCUGAUACAGAACCCGGCUUAUAGUGCUGCUCAU
rnacentral:RNase_P_RNA from 1 species